rnacentral:lncRNA from 1 species
CUCACGGCCACCAUGAGUGGGAUCAGCACCUGUUUGCUGAAAGGGCUCUCCACAUGCAGCCAGGUGGAGAGAGGAAAGCUUUGGAAUCAUGGAGAUUUGGGUUCAGAUCUCUGUGUCUCCAUUGGGCCAGUCCACUCCUCUCUGGUUUGCUGUUUAAAUGAGGACAGUGACACCCACUUCUCAGGUGUUGGGGGAAUUGAAGAAAGGUACGUUCUUGCUAGUGGCAAGUGAUCAGCAAGUGGCAGCGGCUGGCAAUGACACUGAAAGGAGUCAUCAGCAUCCCCAUUUCACAGGAAUGCCCCCCUAAACUUCCAG